rnacentral:rRNA from 1 species
UUAAUAAGAAAUUUUUUUAAACGGCUGCAAUUAGAAAUUGUGCUAAGGUAGCGUAAUCAUUUGNCCCUUAANUAGGGGAAGGUANGAAUGGUUUGACGUGGGAAAAGCUGUCUCUUUUGUAUNUAAGGAAGUUUAUUUUUGAGUGAAAAAGCUUAAAUGUGUAUAAAAGACGAGAAGACCCUAUCGAACUUGAAUUAUGUGUUAUAGUUUUAGAAUACAGAAAGUUUAGUUGGGGAAACUUAAAGUUAAGAGAAACGCUUUUUUGUUAUAAAAUGAUCCUGUAUUAUAGAAAAAUGAAAAAGUUACCGUAGGNAUAACAGCGCUUUCUUCUCUGAGAGGACUAAUCAAAGAGUUGGUUGCGACCUCGAUGUUGGAUUAAGGUUUCUUUUUGGGGCAGGAGUUAAAAUA